rnacentral:rRNA from 1 species
ACCCGCUGAACUUAAGCAUAUCAAUAAGCGGAGGAAAAGAAACUAACAAGGAUUCCCCUAGUAACGGCGAGUGAAGAGGGAAAAGCUCAAAUUUGAAAUCUGGCGGCCUUCGGUCGUCCGAGUUGUAAUCUAGAGAAGUGUUUUCCGCGCUGGACCGUGUACAAGUCCUUUGGAACAAGGCGUCAUAGAGGGUGAGAAUCCCGUCUAGGACACGGACUGCCAGUGCUUUGUGAUACACUCUCCACGAGUCGAGUUGUUUGGGAAUGCAGCUCAAAAUGGGUGGUAAAUUCCAUCUAAAGCUAAAUACAGGCGAAAGACCGAUAGCGAACAAGUACCGUGAGGGAAAGAUGAAAAGCACUUUGGAAAGAGAGUUAAAAAGUACGUGAAAUUGUUGAAAGGGAAACGCUUGAAGUCAGUCGCGUCUUCAGAAACUCAGCCUGAUCCUUUGUGGUCUGGCGUACUUUUCUGUUGGACGGGCCAGCAUCAGUUUUGGCCGGCAGAGAAAGGGGAGAGGAAGGUGGCACCCUCGGGUGUGUUAUAGCCUCUCGUCGUAUGUGCCGGCUGGGACUGAGGACCGCAGCACGCCCUGAAACAUGGGCCGGGGUUCGCCCACGUAACGUGCUUAGGAUGCUGGCGUAAUGGCUUUAAGCGACCCGUCUUGAAACACGG